rnacentral:rRNA from 1 species
AUACAGAGGUCCCAAGCGUUGUUCGGAUUCACUGGGCGUAAAGGGUGCGUAGGUGGUGAUGUAAGUUCGAUGUGAAAGCCCCGGGCUCAACCUGGGAAGUGCAUUGGAUACUGGCAGACUUGAAUACGGGAGAGGGCAGUGGAAUUCCUGGUGUAGGAGUGAAAUCCGUAGAUAUCAGGAGGAACACCGGUGGCGAAGGCGGCUGCCUGGACCGAUAUUGACGCUGAGACGCGAAAGCGUGGGUAGC